GUGAUUGUGCCAGCAGCCGCGGUAAUACGGAGGAUCCAAGCGUUAUCCGGAAUCAUUGGGUUUAAAGGGUCCGUAGGCGGUUUGAUAAGUCAGUGGUGAAAGCCCUACGCCCAACGUAGGAACGGCCAUUGAUACUGUUAGACUUGAAUUAUUUGGAAGUAACUAGAAUAUGUAGUGUAGCGGUGAAAUGCUUAGAGAUUACAUGGAAUACCAAUUGCGAAGGCAGGUUACUACAAAUGGAUUGACGCUGAUGGACGAAAGCGUGGGUAGCGAACAGGAUUAGAUACCCUGGUAGUCCACGCCGUAAACGAUGGAUACUAGCUGUUGGGAGCAAUCUCAGUGGCUAAGCGAAAGUGAUAAGUAUCCCACCUGGGGAGUACGUUCGCAAGAAUGAAACUCAAAGGAAUUGACGGGGGCCCGCACAAGCGGUGGAGCAUGUGGUUUAAUUCGAUGAUACGCGAGGAACCUUACCAAGGCUUAAAUGUAGUUUGACCGGUUUGGAAACAGAUCUUUCGCAAGACAAAUUACAAGGUGCUGCAUGGUUGUCGUCAGCUCGUGCCGUGAGGUGUCAGGUUAAGUCCUAUAACGAGCGCAACCCCUGUUGUUAGUUGCCAGCGAGUCAUGUCGGGAACUCUAGCAAGACUGCCAGUGUAAACUGUGAGGAAGGUGGGGAUGACGUCAAAUCAUCACGGCCCUUACGCCUUGGGCUACACACGUGCUACAAUGGCCGGUACAGAGAGCAGCCACUGCGCAAGCAGGAGCGAAUCUACAAAACCGGUCUCAGUUCGGAUCGGAGUCUGCAACUCGACUC
rnacentral:rRNA from 1 species